GAUUGAAGGUCUUGCCAGACAAGCUGAGAGGAGGUGCAUGGCCGUCGCCAGUUCGUGCCGUGAGGUGUCCUGUUAAGUCAGGCAACGAUCGAGACCCGCGCCCCUAGUUGCCAGCGGCACCCCGGAAGGGGGUCGGGCACACUAGGGGGACUGCCGCCGAUAAGGCGGAGGAGGGAGCGGGCUACGGCAGGUCAGUAUGCCCCGAAUCCCUCGGGCCACACGCGAGCUGCAAUGGCAGGGACAAUGGGUUCCAACCUCGAAAGGGGAAGGUAAUCCUUAAACCCUGCCUCAGUUGGGAUCGAGGGCUGUAACUCGCCCUCGUGAACAUGGAAUCCCUAGUAAUCGCGCGUCAUCAACGCGCGGUGAAUACGUCCCCGCUCCUUGCACACACCGCCCGUCGCUCCACCCAAGUGAGGCCUAGAUGAGGCGUAGUCUUUUGGCUGCGUCGAAUCUAGGUUUCGCGAGGGGGGAGAAGUCGUAACAAGGUGGCCGUAGGGGAACCUGCGGCCGGAUCACCUCCU
rnacentral:rRNA from 1 species